GCUUACGGCCACACCGCCUGGUUCACGCCUGAUCUCGGAAGCUAAGAUGGGUUGGGCCUGGUUAGUACUUGGAUGGGAGACCGCCUGGGAAUACCAGGUGCUGUAAGCU
ensembl:rRNA 5S_rRNA 5S ribosomal RNA